rnacentral:tRNA from 1 species
GUUAUAUUGGCAGAUUAGUGCUAUAAAUUUAGAAUUUAUAAAUAUGGAAUAUUUUUCAUAUAUAAUA